rnacentral:rRNA from 1 species
CAGCAGCCGCGGUAAGACAGAGGAUGCAAGCGUUAUCCGGAAUGAUUGGGCGUAAAGCGCACGUAGGCGGUUAUUCAAGUCAGAGGUGAAAGCCCGGGGCUCAACCCCGGAACUGCCUUUGAAACUAGAUGACUGGAAUCUUGGAGAGGUCAGUGGAAUUCCGAGUGUAGAGGUGAAAUUCGUAGAUAUUCGGAAGAACACCAGUGGCGAAGGCGACUGACUGGACAAGUAUUGACGCUGAGGUGCGAAAGCGUGGGGAGCAAACAGGAUUAGAGACCCCAGUAGUCCCUGUCUCUUAUAC